rnacentral:rRNA from 1 species
GCGGAGGAAAAGAAACCAACAGGGAUUGCCUUAGUAACGGCGAGUGAAGCGGCAAAAGCUCAAAUUUGAAAUCGGCCCCCAGGUCGAGUUGUAAUUUGUAGAUUGUAUCUUGAGAGCGGAUUAAAGUCUGUUGGAACACAGCGCCUUAGAGGGUGACAGCCCCGUAAAAUCUAUUCUCAUUGUAAGAUACUUUCGAAGAGUCGAGUUGUUUGGGAAUGCAGCUCUAAGUGGGAGGUAAAUUCCUUCUAAAGCUAAAUAUUGACGAGAGACCGAUAGCGAACAAGUACUGUGAAGGAAAGAUGAAAAGCACUUUGAAAAGAGAGUGAAAAAGUACGUGAAAUUGUUAAAAGGGAAGGGUAUUGAAUCAGACUUGGUGCUGUUGUUCAACCRUGUUUCGGCAYGGUGUACUCAGCAGUACUAGGCCAAGGUGGGGUGUUUGGGAGUGAAAAAGAAGUAGGAACGUAACUCUUCGGAGUGUUAUAGCCUACUUUCAUAGCUCCUCAGGCGCCUCAGGACUGCGCUUCGGCAAGGACCUUGGCAUAAUGAUUCUAUACCGCCCGUCU